CAAGCGGUGGAGCAUGUGGUUUAAUUCGAUGCAACGCGAAGAACCUUACCUGGUCUUGACAUCCACAGAACUUUCCAGAGAUGGAUUGGUGCCUUCGGGAACUGUGAGACAGGUGCUGCAUGGCUGUCGUCAGCUCGUGUUGUGAAAUGUUGGGUUAAGUCCCGCAACGAGCGCAACCCUUAUCCUUUGUUGCCAGCGGUCCGGCCGGGAACUCAAAGGAGACUGCCAGUGAUAAACUGGAGGAAGGUGGGGAUGACGUCAAGUCAUCAUGGCCCUUACGACCAGGGCUACACACGUGCUACAAUGGCGCAUACAAAGAGAAGCGACCUCGCGAGAGCAAGCGGACCUCAUAAAGUGCGUCGUAGUCCGGAUUGGAGUCUGCAACUCGACUCCAUGAAGUCGGAAUCGCUAGUAAUCGUGGAUCAGAAUGCCACGGUGAAUACGUUCCCGGGCCUUGUACACACCGCCCGUCACACCAUGGGAGUGGGUUGCAAAAGAAGUAGGUAGCUUAACCUUCGGGAGGGCGCUUACCACUUUGUGAUUCAUGACUGGGGUGAAGUCGUAACAAGGUAACCGUAGGGGAACCUGCGGUUGGAUCAC
rnacentral:rRNA from 1 species